GGGUUGUGAGGUUAAGCGACUAAGCGUACACGGUGGAUGCCCUGGCAGUCAGAGGCGAUGAAGGACGUGCUAAUCUGCGAUAAGCGCCGGUAAGGUGAUAUGAACCGUUAUAACCGGCGAUUUCCGAAUGGGGAAACCCAGUGUGAUUCGUCACACUAUCAUUAACUGAAUCCAUAGGUUAAUGAGGCGAACCGGGGGAACUGAAACAUCUAAGUACCCCGAGGAAAAGAAAUCAACCGAGAUUCCCCCAGUAGCGGCGAGCGAACGGGGAGGAGCCCAGAGCCUGAAUCAGCAUGUGUGUUAGUGGAAGCGUCUGGAAAGGCGCGCGAUACAGGGUGACAGCCCCGUACACAAAAGCGCACAUGCUGUGAGCUCGAUGAGUAGGGCGGGACACGUGGUAUCCUGUCUGAAUAUGGGGGGACCAUCCUCCAAGGCUAAAUACUCCUGACUGACCGAUAGUGAACCAGUACCGUGAGGGAAAGGCGAAAAGAACCCCGGCGAGGGGAGUGAAAAAGAACCUGAAACCGUGUACGUACAAGCAGUGGGAGCACCCUUUGGGGUGUGACUGCGUACCUUUUGUAUAAUGGGUCAGCGACUUAUAUUCUGUAGCAAGGUUAACCGUAUAGGGGAGCCGGAGGGAAACCGAGUCUUAAC
rnacentral:rRNA from 6 species